rnacentral:rRNA from 1 species
CCUACGGGAGGCUGCAGUGGGGAAUAUUGGACAAUGGGCGAAAGCCUGAUCCAGCCAUGCCGCGUGUGUGAAGAAGGCCUUCGGGUUGUAAAGCACUUUCAGUGGGGAAGAAAGCCUUGGGGCUAAUACCCUCGAGGAAGGACAUCACCCACAGAAGAAGCACCGGCUAACUCCGUGCCAGCAGCCGCGGUAAUACGGAGGGUGCGAGCGUUAAUCGGAAUUACUAGGCGUAAAGCGCGCGUAGGCGGUCUGAUAAGCCGGUUGUGAAAGCCCCGGGCUCAACCUGGGAACGGCAUCCGGAACUGUCAGGCUAGGGUGCAGGAGAGGAAGGUAGAAUUCCCGGUGUAGCGGUGAAAUGCGUAGAGAUCGGGAGGAAUACCAGUGGCGAAGGCGGCCUUCUGGACUGAAACUGACGCUGAGGUGCGAAAGCGUGGGUAGCAAACAGGAUUAGAUACCCCUGUAGUC